rnacentral:rRNA from 1 species
GACGAACGCUGGCGGCGUGCUUAACACAUGCAAGUCGAACGGAAAGGCCCUGCUUUUGUGGGUUUCUCGUUUGGCGAACGGGUGAGUAACACGUGAGUAUCCUGCCCUUGACUUUGGGGUAACUUCAGGAAACUGGGGCUAAUACCGGAUAGGAGCUCUUGCUGCAUGGUGUGGGUUGGAAAGUUUCGGCGGUAGGGGCUGGACUGGCGGCUUCUCGGCUUGUUGGUGGGGUAGUGGCUUACCAAGGCUUUGACGGGUAGCCGGCCUGGGAGGGUGAACAGGCACAUGGGUACUGCGAGAGGGACCAGAAGCCAAUGGGAGGCAGCAGGCGAGAAUAUUGCACAGUGGGCGGGAGCCAGAGACAGCAGUGCCGCGUGCGUAAUGCCGGCCUACGGGUGAAAAACCGCUUUCGCCUGUGACGAGGCGUGAGUGACGGUAAUGGGUAAAGAAGCACCGGCUAACUACGUG